CCUGCCCAGACAAGCCCCGACCUGAACUGCCUGAACCACCGCGCCGCACAAACGGUGGCGGGAUGCCGGGAAAUGUUGUUAGCUGAUGGCCGACAUCUUGCGUUUAUUUUUCGUGGGCCUUGCCAUGCUGCUCAAGGAGACUUAACGACUCUGACUGAGCUAGAGGAUGCAGUUCCGUCGCAGCUGUAACGCAACUUGCGCCAUCCGACAGCCACCAUGUGUGGCAACCAACUACGGCACCACUGCAUCACGGGAUGCCUGGCCAGCCCCGGCAGCACAACAUACGGCUUUAUCGCAUCCGCUUCGUCCACCACCUUGCAGAAUGCCUCGACGUCUUGGAUGAAGGUGCGUCUGCAGGCUUCUCGGGCCCACGGCAGGGCGAUCACCUUGGCCGCACCUUCUACGAACGCGGCAGGGGGGAACAGGGCGCUGAUCAACUCGACGGUUACCAUGUUGUUGGCCGCCGUCACGAACAG